UUUAAGAGUGGGCGAUGUGAAUAUGUGUUAUUAUAUUUAUGCAUUAACGGAUCAGUGAUUUCCGGCUGUAUAUAGCUUACUUUAAAUAUUCGUUAAUUAUUUAUUAUUUCAGUAAUCAAAACAUGCACAGCGUAGUAAGCGAAGAAAAUGGAAAUUAUGGAAUUGUUAUGGCAGAUUGUCAUGAAGCAUUUCAAAUCUAAAAUUUAACAUCAUAGCAAGAGGAAAUCUUUUGAAACAGUAAACCUAUUUGCAAUAUUAGCAAAGUAUUGUAAUACAGUAUACAUACAUUUCAUAGCGUUAUUACAAUAAGAAGAGUUAUAGGAGUAUUAACUCGAUAUUAUGUAUCUUAAUAGAGGGUGGGAAAGGGGGGAGGAGUAUGGGUCACGUUUCACAACGAAAAAAAAAGAAUUAAUUUUCACAACUCACGUGUCUUAAAGAAGC